ensembl:lncRNA novel transcript, antisense to HEATR4
CUGUACUGGCUAUAAGGAAUGCUGGGCAGGCCUCGCUGCCACACCACCUCCUGAGAGAAGAGACAGGGUCUUACUAUGUUGUCCAGGCUGGUUUCAAACUCCUGGAAUCAAGCGAUCUUCCUGCCUUGGCCUCCAGAAAUGCUGGGACUGCGCCUGGAAUAGAUACGGGUAAAGAACCUUUUACAUCAGACUCUUGUGUCCUACUCCCAGAAUGCUGAUUCAGUAGCCUGCAAGUGAGGCCUAGAAAUCUGCAUUUUCACAAGCUCUCAGGUUUAAUACACAAUACAUUUAAAGAAAGCACAGCCCAAAGGGUGUCAGUGGGGUGUAUGAAGGAAGCCUGGUUAGUGGGGAGAGUGGGAUUAGGGAACAGCUGCUUAACCUGGCUUGUUUCAAGUCCCCCUUUCUCCCUUUUUGCCCUCAAAAAGUUCCCCUCAUUUUUUCCCCUCUACUUUCUAAUUUCUCACCAUGCACUCACACAGCUAUACAGCUGUCUCCAGAGAUUACUCUGGAAACUCUGCU